CUGAGAAUAGAUAUUUAUAAUUACUGUUUCCAGUUUGGUUAUUUUGAUGCAACAUUUGCAAUUCCUUGUCAUUUCCCCAAAGAUCCCCCUGUAAUGUAGAACUCUACAUAGUUAUAGAGAUAAUGUGCUUGCUGGUCCUUUUGCUUAACUUAGCUCUCUAUCUAAUUCCAGGGAUGGCAACAUUAACUCUGACAGUUAUACCCAGUAAUCGCCAAAUUAUAAGUACCAUUUAAGCUGGUAACUGCUAAAAUAACCUCAGUUUAUUCCAG